GGGCACUCUAGCGAGACUGCCGGUAAUAACGGAGGAAGGUGGGAUGACGUCAAAUCAUCAUGCCCCUUAUGACCUGGGCUACACACGUGCUACAAUGGUUGGUACAACGAGUUGCGAGUCGGUGACGGCGAGCUAAUCUCUUAAAGCCAGUCUCAGUUCGGAUUGUAGGCUGCAACUCGCCUACAUGAAGUCGGAAUCGCUAGUAAUCGCGGAUCAGCAUGCCGCGGUGAAUACGUUCCCGGGCCUU
rnacentral:rRNA from 1 species